GAUGAACGCUGGCGGCGUGCCUAAUACAUGCAAGUCGAGCGAACGGACGAGAAGCUUGCUUCUCUGGUGUUAGCGGCGGACGGGUGAGUAACACGUGGAUAACCUACCUAUAAGACUGGGAUAACUUCGGGAAACCGGAGCUAAUACCGGAUAAUAUUUUGAACCGCAUGGUUCAAAAGUGAAAGACGGUCUUGCUGUCACUUAUAGAUGGAUCCGCGCUGCAUUAGCUAGUUGGUAAGGUAACGGCUUACCAAGGCAACGAUGCAUAGCCGACCUGAGAGGGUGAUGGGCCACGCUGGAACUGAGACACGGUCCAGACUCCUACGGGAGGCGGCAGAAGGGAAUCUUCCGCGAUGGGCGAGAGCCUGACGGGGCAACGCCGCGUGAGUGAUGAAGGUCUUCGGAUCGUAAAACUCUGUUAUUAGGGAAGAACAUAUGUGUAAGUAACUGUGCACAUCUUGACGGUACCUAAUCAGAAAGCCACGGCUAACUACGUG
rnacentral:rRNA from 1 species